GCCUGGCUGGCUCAGUUGGCAGAGCAUGUGACUCUUGAUCUCAGGGUUGUGAGUUCAAGCCCCACAUUGGGUG
rnacentral:tRNA from 1 species